UACAGAGGUCCCAAGCGUUACUGAGAAUCACUGGGUUUAAAGGGUGCGUAGGUGGUCCGUUAAGUCAGUUGUGAAAUCCCCGGGCUCAACCCGGGAACUGCUUCUGAUACUGGCAGACUUGAGGCCAGUAGGGGUCACUAGAACUGACGGUGGAGCGGUGAAAUGCGUAGAUAUCGUCAGGAAUGCCGGUGGUGAAGACGGGUGACUGGGCUGGUUCUGACACUGAGGCACGAAAGCGUGGGGAGCGAACGGG
rnacentral:rRNA from 1 species